UUUUUCCAUGGUUUGGCUUGGAUAUUGGUGGAACCCUGGUCAAGCUGGUUUAUUUUGAGCCCAAAGACAUCACUGCUGAAGAAGAGGAGGAAGAGGUGGAAAGUCUUAAAAGCAUUCGGAAGUACCUGACCUCCAAUGUGGCUUAUGGGUCCACAGGUAUUCGGGAUGUGCACCUGGAACUGAAGGACCUGACUCUGUGUGGACGCAAGGGCAAUCUGCACUUUAUACGCUUUCCCACUCAUGACAUGCCUGCUUUUAUUCAGAUGGGCAGAGAUAAAAACUUCUCAAGUCUCCACACUGUCUUUUGUGCCACUGGAGGUGGAGCGUACAAAUUUGAGCAGGAUUUUCUCACAAUAGGUGACCUUCAGCUUUGCAAACUUGAUGAACUAGAUUGUUUAGUAAAAGGAAUUUUAUACAUUGACUCUGUUGGAUUCAAUGGACGGUCACAGUGCUAUUACUUUGAAAACCCUGCUGAUGCUGAAAAAUGUCAGAAGUUACCAUUUGAUUUGAAAAAUCCAUACCCUCUGCUUCUGGUGAACAUUGGCUCUGGGGUUAGCAUUUUAGCAGUAUAUUCCAAAGAUAAUUACAAGCGGGUCACGGGUACCAGUCUUGGAGGAGGAACUUUUUUUGGUCUCUGCUGUCUUCUUACUGGCUGUACCACUUUUGAAGAAGCUCUUGAAAUGGCAUCUCGUGGAGAUAGCACCAAAGUGGAUAAACUAGUUCGAGACAUUUAUGGAGGGGACUAUGAGAGGUUUGGACUGCCGGGCUGGGCUGUGGCAUCAAGCUUUGGAAACAUGAUGAGCAAGGAGAAGCGAGAGGCAGUCAGUAAAGAGGACCUCGCCAGAGCAAUGUUGAUCACCAUCACCAACAACAUUGGCUCAAUAGCAAGAAUGUGUGCCCUUAAUGAAAGCUGGGCAUUUGGUUGCUUGCCAGUGAUCGCUCUGCAGGAAGGCAUUUUUAAGUGUGAAGCUUUUCUUUGGUUGAAUUUUAUUCCUGAUAAGGAACUUAUAACUCUGGAGUGAGAUGAGAUUCUCUAAAGAAUAUGACCAUACUUAAGAGUUUUGAACAUUAACCAGGUGGUAUUUGUUGGAAAUUUCUUGAGAAUUAAUACGAUCGCCAUGCGACUUUUGGCAUAUGCUUUGGAUUAUUGGUCCAAGGGGCAGUUGAAAGCACUUUUUUCGGAACACGAGGGUUAUUUUGGAGCCGUUGGAGCACUCCUUGAGCUGUUGAAGAUCCCCUGAUCGUUACCCAGGGAGGGGUUCCUGGAACAUUCCACAAUGGGAUCUGUGAACUUUUGUUUUUUAAGAGACUUAUUCAAUUUUGUGAUUGUGUACUACCUGAAUCAAAGCAAGAAAGGACAAGUGUAUUUUUCUAAGUCAUGAAGAUAAAUCCUUAAAAAUUCAGCCUAAACUAGUAACCAGUAAGGAAAGAUACAAAAAAAGUGGACCAUGUCUGUGGCAGUGAGGAUCUGCUGUGUUGAAGUUGCUCUUCAGUAUAGCUUUGUUACACCUGCCACGUAUUUGUGAAAUUCAGUGUCCUUACUGGAGCCACUUCAGGGGUGGGCUGCUCUGUGUUCAGCUGACUGCGGUUUUGUGUCCUGUCGAACUUGCUAGAUGUAAGGCAGGCACUACAUGUUGUAAUCUAAUCACAAUGUUAAUAUGGCCUUGGAGAUCAUCAUCUGUGCAUUAACUCUGGUGUGCUAUUUAGCCUUUGUGUGAACAUACUGAAAAACAUGUUUUAUUUCAAGGUUCUAUGAACUUGAUUGGGCAGAGUAAUUCUGUAUUUGAAACUUUGGCAAUUAAGCAACUUUUGGAAAGGCAGUUCCAGGUUCCUCUCCACACUGCACAUCCUGGGGAGGUUUGUUUGGAAAGAUGGGGCUUCGUCUACCCUAGGCAGAAUUUCCUGGGGGACGGCAGGGGGUGGGGUGGAGGUCAUUUUGUCAGAAGUGAGUGUAAGCUAGUAGAAAAAGCACACCUGGAGACUAAACCAGACAAAAGGGGCCACUUGAAAUGCCGUCUUUUCAGGGAACCAGGGAGAAUUUGGUUGUUUCAGGCUGGUAGAAAGUGAGGAAUUGAAGUCCAUUGAUUCACUUGUGGGGGGUAGGGCGAAGACUUGCCCCUUCCCCUCCCACUUGGGGUCUUUACUUGCCAGAAAUUGCCAGGCAGGCUGACUCGGUAGGGCUGCACGAGGGCUGCACAUGCAGGCUCGAAAGGCCGCUUGAGCAGAGUCAGGUUUUAAGAUGGAGUCUUGGUAGAGAUUGACUUGGAAUGUUUUCUUUCUGCUGUGCAGAAUAAUUUAAAAAACCCUUCCCCUUGGAGAUAGAGCAACGUUUGAGUCUUCUGUGUAUUUUUGUGCCUGCAUCGCUGUUGAAGGUAACAAAGGGUCUGUAUAAAGCACCCUUUGAACUAGAAAGAAGCCUCAAGGCUCUACAGCCUCUUUGUGCCUGGGGGAGGGAGAUCUGGAGGGAAGGUUCCAAGGGUCAGAAGGGAAGGGUCCAGGGCCUAGGGCCACCCAAGGGCCAGGCCUGGUCGCUAAGGGAGGAGGGCUGGAUCCCUUGGCACCUCCUGUGUUGGCCACGUGGGGGCAGCAGAGGCAUGUGCCACCUGUGGGCAGCAGCUUCCCACGGGCGCCCCUUCACGCACUUGGGCAUAAGUGGGUUGUUGGUGCUGCCAGCCUGGCACAGGCAGCAGAACUGGGGGGACCCUGCGGGGAUGGGACUUGUGGCCUCCGGGUGGUGAUUGGCUUCUCUGCUGCUGCCACCCCUGUGGGGCUUGGGGUCCUCAGCCGGAGGCCCCUCUAAUCCUGUCCCUCAGCCCUCAGACGCUUGCUUGGAGGCCCCACAUUCUGCGCAACCUCCAAAGAGAGUGUCACUGCCUACUCGCUGAUGCACAGAGAAGGUAGUGGAGGGAGGGAGGGAGCCCGCUUCCUAGGAGCCCUGGCCCCCGCACCGCGGGCUGUGCUCACGAGGCUGUGAGCAGCCAGAGCUUCCCGCGGCUGGCCUCCCUGUAGCGUGUGUUAACCCCGAGGUCACACAGCUCGGGCAGGCGGAGCCCGUCUCCUGCACAGCGCGGACCUUCCUUCCACUUCCGCGCACCCGCCCUUCCUGCCCCUGAGAAGCUGCCUCCCUGACUUCGCCGCAUUCUGUGCUCAGCCGCCUCCUGUGCGCCCAGUGAGUGGCCUCUAAGCCUUCGUGCCCUCAGUUCUCACACAGCGGCCCGCUCCCGCUCGCGGUUCCCUCUGCCUCCUGGGCCGCUGCUGCCUGCGCUGUGCCGGCGGCUGCUCCUCAGAGGACACAGGCGCGGUGGCGGACCUCCCCAAGCAGUCGUCAAGGUGGUGGCCCCUCCCAGCCUUUGCCUCUGAGCUGUGGCCCCAGGCAGGGACUGCCUUCCCCUCCACCACUGAGUGUUCCCAAGGCCAUCUCUGUACAUUCUCUUCCCUGAGCCUGAUCCCAGUUUACUGUCGCUUCACUACGUCAGGCUUGUGAGAUGCUCGUAAACAAACUCCUCUCUCCAGGCACCACUGCCCCUUCCAGCAGCGCUCCUCCCAGUCUGCCCUUGAGGUAGUCCGAGGGUCCCCUUCCAUGUGUGAGGGGCGGCCUGAACCAAGACUGGGGCAAGAGACGGCGCAGAGGGCUGAGUGCUGGGACGUGGGGAUUGGCUAGGAUGAGGGAGUCUGGGAGGGCACCCAGGCUUGGUUGGGGAGGCUUGGCUUUGGACCAUGAUUCUGAUACAGAAAGGCGGCUGGAUAUUUGGAAUUCGAGAUUUCAGACCUGAGAAUGAUGUGUAUCUAGAUGGGACUCUAGUGAGCGUGAAGGUAGAGUGAGAGUAACCGUUACAAGAUGGGCAGAGAAGGAAAAGGCUGCAGAGAAAGUGGUCCGAGAAGGGGCUGGCAGGGUCUGCAGCCCCGGCUGCUGGAGAAGAGUUGUUCUCCAGGCACCUGCAUCCAGAGGGGGUUUAAGAAGUGGCCCAGAUUUGUGGCAGGGCCAGGGAUGGCCUUGAGGGGAGCGCUUUCCCCCAGGCUACUAGGUCAAAGCUGACCUGCAGGGACCCUAGUGAGGGGUGGUGAGGGGCAAUGGCAGUUGCCACAGGAUGGCUUUGGUCCAAGAGGUGUUUUCUUCUAACAGAAUACGAAUAUUUGUGAGCCUGAGCUGUAGCUAGAGGGGGAACAUGUGGGCUAGUCCACCACCUCAACCCCCUUGAGCACUGUGGUCCAUAUUGGUUAGAGCACUAGUGUGUCCAGCCAUAUCUGCAGUGCUGAAGUCAGGGUGGCAGGUAGGCCCUUGACCUCUUUCUCCCUGUGACCUGGUGCUCUCCUCACCCUUGACCCCGCAACCCCACCCCAUGGGAGGUGCAGGCCACAAACUCUUUCAUCACAAUCCUGUGUUGUUGGUGACCAGCUCACUUUGAUCAGAGCCCUUCACCUGGACUUUCCAACUCUUGCUAAACAGGCUUAAGUGGGGUGUAGAUGACCUCAGGCCCCUUGGAGUUGAAGGGUACAUACUCAAAGUAUUUUCAAAACCUGCUUUUUAUUUACAUUUAAGUCCAUUACAUGCAUGUUUUGUUUUUAAAACAAGAGUAAUUAGCAAAAAAUGCAUUAAAAUUUUAAAAUAGCAAUUAAAUAUACAAAAAUAUAGCUUACAAAAAACUGCGAAUGUUUAAAAAUAUUCUGCUGCAGAAUUCUUAGUGUACAAACACGUCUAUGAAACCUGA